UGUCCCGUGGUGUAAUGGUAGCACUGCAGAUUUUGGUUCUGCCUGUCCAAGUUCGAAUCUUGGCGGGACAG
rnacentral:tRNA from 1 species